GAUGAACGCUAGCGGAAGGCUUAAUACAUGCAAGUCGAGCGGUAGGUGGCUUCGGCCAUUGAGAGCGGCGCACGGGUGAGUAACGCGUACAUGACCUGCCUGUCAGAAGGGGAUAGCCCUGGGAAACUGGGAUUAAUACCCUAUGGUAUUGAUAUUAUGAAUGAUAUCAAUUAAAGUUGAGGCGCUGACAGAUGGAUGUGCGUCUGAUUAGCUAGUUGGUAGGGUAACGGCCUACCAAGGCGGCGAUCAGUAGGGGGCGUGAGAGCGUGGUCCCCCACACGGGUACUGAGACACGGACCCGACUCCUACGGGAGGCAGCAGUAAGGAAUAUUGGUCAAUGCCCGCAAGGGUGAACCAGCCAUUCCGCGUGGAGGAUGAAGGCCCUAUGGGUUGUAAACUUCUUUUAGAUGGGAAGAAAAUGCUAGAUGUAUCUGGUACUGACGGUACCAUCAGAAUAAGCACCGGCUAACUCCGUGCCAGCAGCCGCGGUAA
rnacentral:rRNA from 1 species